GUUAAUGUAGCUUAAGUAAAGUGUGGCACUGAAAAUGCUAAGACAGAUUUUUUAAACAUCUCAUAAACA
rnacentral:tRNA from 1 species